rnacentral:lncRNA from 10 species
CGUUCGUGGCUUUGGUGUCUCCUGGGCUUGCAGGUGGUCCCCUUCCCACUGUGGCUUCACAUGGCCUUUCUUCUGCACGAGAGCAUCCUUGCUGUCUCUUCCUCUCCUUAUGAGGAUAUCAGUCCAAUCAGACAAGGGUCCCACCCUUAUGACACUGUUUAACCUUCAAUCUCCUGAAAGGUCCUGUCUCCAAAUACAGUGACAUUGAGGGUGAGGGCUUCAACCUAUGAAUUAGUGGAGAGGAGGCGCAACGGAGCCUGUAACAGUGCCCCGGCCGGUUUGUCUAGGCAGCUCACCCAGCCCGGGGAGCCCUGGAAGCAUUCUUUUCCCUACAUCCACUUGCAAGCUUCUACUUGACAUGUGUUUUCUCUCACCCUGUUAUCUUUCAGAAGAAGGGAAAAGAAAACAGAAACAGACAUGAAAGCAGAGUGGAAAUUCAGUCACCCAGGAUCCAGCUAGCAACACUCUUCAAUUACCUGGGAAUGGUUUCCCCAUCCUGCUCUGGGGAGAGAGAGGCGCUGACAAGAAAGGCUGACUCAUGCCAGAGGGCUUGUUUGAGAAAUGAAAGAGUUUGAAGGGUUCAUCCUGGGGCCAGAAGAGAAGCCGCGCAGCCCCCCGCACCUUGCACACCAUCCCUGGAUAACCAGGCACAGCCAAGAAUAACAGAGAAGGCAGAGAAGGAACUCUGGUUCCAACUCCAGAGCCAGCGCACACAGACGUCUCUGCACAGCACAGGGAAUGGGCGUUCAUCCUGAAACCAGUCCUCAGUGCAGAGCCUCCCACGGGUGAGAGACCAAGCCCAGCAAAUGGUUUUCAAAGUUCAACCAGACAAAGAUGAAACCACCCUGGAAGGUGUCACCCUUGAGCCUCCUCCUGCCAUGUGACCCUGAGGGGAAGUUCAGGGGCAGAGGGGAGACAUCUGGAUUUGGGGUUGGUAGGUUCCCACAACUGGACACUGACCUGGCUUACGCUCAGAUGCACAGGGCUGCAGUUGCCAGCUGUAAGUCCCAAGUCCCAGAAAAGGAAGAGAAGGUGCCUCAUGCAUGUUCAUUUCAUUCCUUCAGUCACCUGGCAAGCAUGAGGCCCGCACCUAGCAUUGGCAGGCCUAGGGCAGGAGCCCCCUGGAGGCCCAUAUAUAAAUCACACUAACAAACCACUCAAUAAAACAUGUUCUAUCCUCUGACCUUGACAAAUAUACUUC